rnacentral:rRNA from 1 species
AGAAGCUGUAGCAAUACAGUUGUAAAGUGGCAAACGGGUGAGUAAUGCGUGGGUAAUCUACCCUAGGGUGGGGAAUAACUCCUCGAAAGGGGAGCUAAUGCCGACAUGUGCGCCACUCUCGCAAGGGAGUGAUGGAAAGCCGUACCGUGGGUGCGGCGCCCAAGGAUGAGCUCACGUCCUAUCAGCUUGUUGGCGGGGUAACGGCCCACCAAGGCUGCGACGGGUAGCUGGUCUGAGAGGACGACCAGCCACACUGGCACUGCGACACGGGCCAGACUCCUACGGGAGGCAGCAGUGAGGAAUAUUGCGCAAUGGACGACAGUCUGACGCAGCGACGCCGCGUGGGGGAUGAAGGCCUUCGGGUUGUAAACCCCUUUCAGGAGGGAAGAUGGGACGGGUAACCGUUCGGACGGUACCUCCAGAAGCAGCCACGGCUAACUCUGUGCCAGCAGCCGCGGUAAGACAGAGGUGGCAAGCGUUGUUCGGAUUUACUGGGCGUAAAGAGUGCGUAGGUGGUGAGGUAAGAUCUGUGGGAAAGACCUGGGCUUAACCCAGGAAGGUCGCAGAUGACUGCCUCGCUUGAGGACGGGAGAGGAGAGCGGAAUUCCCGGUGUAGCGGUGAAAUGCGUAGAGAUCGGGAAGAAGGCCGGUGGCGAAGGCGGCUCUCUGGAACGUUCCUGACACUGAGGCACGAAAGCGUGGGGAGCAAACAGGAUUAGAUACCCUGGUAGUCCACGCCCUAAACGAUGGAUACUAAGUGUCGGCGGGUUACCGCCGGUGCCGCACCUAACGGAGUAAGUAUCCCGCCUGGGGAGUACGGCCGCAAGGU